GGGCCCAUAGCUCAGUUGGCAGAGCACCCGGCUGAUAACCGGGAGGUCAGUGGUUCGACCCCACUUGGGCCCA
rnacentral:tRNA from 1 species